rnacentral:rRNA from 1 species
UACGUAGGCAGCGAGCGUUGUUCGGAGUUACUGGGCGUAAAGGGUGUGUAGGCGGUUGUUUAAGUUUGGUGUGAAAUCUCCCGGCUCAACUGGGAGGGUGCGCCGAAUACUGAAUGACUAGAGUGCGGGAGAGGAAAGUGGAAUUCCUGGUGUAGCGGUGAAAUGCGUAGAUAUCAGGAGGAACACCGGUGGUGUAGACGGCUUUCUGGACCGUAACUGACGCUGAGACACGAAAGCGUGGGUAGGCAAACAGG